rnacentral:lncRNA from 1 species
AUGUAUAUAUUCAUAUAUGCAAGUGAACAAAUAGAACAAGAAAUUCAGUAAAACCAUUAGCUCUGUUUUUAUAACUCAAUACAGUUUGCUAAAAUAGAAGAAAAGUUUCAAGCUUGCAAACUUGAAGGGUUGGCGUUGUGUGUUUUCUGUUGGGCUGAGUUCGCAGAGGAGGAGGGAGGCGGUGGCUCCGCGCCACUGUCGGCCGGAGUGCGCAGAGAGAUAGAGGGCCGUGAGACAGAGGGGGCGCAGCACGGUGGCUCCGCCCGCUGCUGCCGGGCUGAGGACGGAGAGAGAGAGAGGGAGGCAGGAGCUAGGGGAUGGCGGUGGUUAGCUCAGCUAGCUGUGCGGCCGCCGGAUUUCGGAGAGAGGCGACGGCGGGGUUGUGAGGGAGCCGGUGAAGGCGGCGUCCUUCAUCGACUGAAGGCGGUGCGGAGGCGCGUUCGCCGGAGACCGAAAGGGAGGGGGAGGGGACUGUCAGUAAUUUGGGGCUAGGGUUUUUCAGAGAGGGGGAGAAGGCGGCAGCAGCUCUCCAGCCGUCGAGAGAGCCGGGCAUGCGGCGGCGGCCAUGGAGGUGGUGGCUAUCGCCGGAAUAUUGAGAGGAGGCGGUGGUGUUUCAGUUGGUGUGUAUGUGCUGUCGUGUGGUAGCUUGAGGGAGAUCAGAGAGAGGACGAGGGAAAGGA